CAAAUUACCCAAUCCCGACACGGGGGGGUAGUGACAAUAAAUAACAAUAUGGGGUUCUUACGAGUCUUGUAAUUGGAAUGAGUACAAUUUAAAUCUCUUAACGAGGAACAAUUGGAGGGAAAGUCUGGUGCCAGCAGCCGCGGUAAUUCCAGCUCCAAUAGCGUAUAUUAAAGUUGUUGCAGUUAAAAAGCUCGUAGUUGAAUUUCGGGGUCAGUAGGUCGGUCGUGCCACUGGUAUGAACUGGUUUUACUGAUUCCUCCCUCUUGAAGAACUGUAAUGCCAUUAAUUUGGUGUUGCAGGGAAUCAGGACUGUUACUUUGAAAAAAUUAGAGUGUUUAAAGCAGGCUUUAGCUUGAAUACAUUAGCAUGGAAUAAUGAAAUAGGACGUUUGAUCCUAUUUUGUUGGUUUCUAGGAUUGACGUAAUGAUUAAUAGGGAUAGUUGGGGGCAUUAGUAUUCAAUUGUCAGAGGUGAAAUUCUUGGAUUUAUUGAAGACUAACUACUGCGAAAGCAUUUGCCAAGGAUGUUUUCAUUAAUCAAGAACGAAAGUUAGGGGAUCGAAGACGAUCAGAUACCGUCGUAGUCUUAACCAUAAACUAUGCCGACUAGGGAUCGGAUGAUGUUAAUCUUUUAAUGACUCAUUCGGCGCCUUACGGGAAACCAAAGUGUUU
rnacentral:rRNA from 1 species